GACGAACGCUGGCGGCGUGCUUAACACAUGCAAGUCGAACGGAAAGGCCCUGCUUUUGUGGGGUGCUCGAGUGGCGAACGGGUGAGUAACACGUGAGUAACCUGCCCUUGACUUUGGUAUAACUUCAGGAAACUGGGUCUUAUACCGGAUAGGAGCUCCUGCUGCAUGGUGGGGGUUGGAAAGUUUCGGCGGUUGGGGAUGGGCCCGCGGCUUAUCAGCUUGUUGGUGGGGUAGUGGCUUACCAAGGCUUUGACGGGUAGCCGGCCUGAGAGGGUGAACGGCCACAUUGGGACUGAGAUACGGCCCAGACUCCUACGGGAGGCAGCAGUGGGGAAUAUUGCACAAUGGGCGGAAGCCUGAUGCAGCGACGCCGCGUGCGGGAUGACGGCCUUCGGGUUGUAAACCGCUUUCGACUGUGACGAAGCGUGAGUGACGGUAAUGGGUAAAGAAGCACCGGCUAACUACGUG
rnacentral:rRNA from 1 species